AUCGUUCUUUAAUUUCCACUCUCUUCAUCGUAACUGUCCUUCAACCAUUCUCUUCCAAAUUCCCAAAACGGUUCUCAAAUCAUUUUUUCUCAUAACUGCCCUUCAACCAUCCUCUUCCAAAUUCUCAAACCGUUUACAAUCCACAAUCCAUUGCGUUUCUGUUUUUUAUGGCAGAUUCUUCGCUCUCCUAUUUUUCUCUUUCUCACUAUCAAUCCUGAUUCUCGAUCCUGAUAUUUUGCUUCCUUCCAUUGCUUGCGCUUCCGCUGCUUCCUCCAAAGGCGUCGAGGUUUUUUUACUUUCUUUCUUCUUCUUUGAUUUCAUCUUCCUGUAUGGUGCCUGCGGCUGCGUCGAUCUUGGCCGGAAGGAUGAUGCUCGCGGUGAUUGGUUUCGCUUUCUCACGACCCUUCAGAGUUGUCGGGUUUAAUUAAACGGUUCUCGAUGUCAAUACAGAAGCUUGAUCUGUAGACAAAUCACGAUACAUAACGUAUCCAACCCAAAACGCGAAAGAGAUUUGAAGAAAAUACCGGUCUGUUAUGGGAGCACAAAAUCGAGUGAAUUAAAGGUAUCAGUUUUCUGGAACGACAAAGUCGGCUUAUGCUGUUGCUGAGAAAUAUAUCUCAAUGCGUUAAAUCAUGAUACCAGAGACCUUCCAGUCGGUUUUGAUUUUUCUGACCGGGAAACACCGAUCAAUCAUCAGGUCUCAGAAAGCAUUAACUGUGAAUGGAAAGCCAAGAAAUAAAUUGCCUAAUAGGAAAAAGGCAUUCAUGAUGAUGAAUGUGUUUACAUUUGUGAUUUUAAUGCAAUACAAUAUACAGAGUGGGGAUUGAAAUUCCAAAAAUUGAAGUUCGUUAUGAGAAUUUGUCAGUGGAAGGAGAUGAGUAUGUUGGAAGUAGAGUGCUUCCUACUCUUCUUAAUGUCACCGUCAAUACUUUCGAGCAUUAUGGGAUUGUUUCAUCUUGCACCAACGAAGAAAAGAGAGAUUCAGAUUCUCAAAAAUGUUAGUGGGAUUGUGAAACCCUCACAUUACGAAAUGGUGCAGCCAUUGCAGUCUUUGGAUGUUUUCCGUCAGGUGAAGAUCGGUAAGCUUGUGUUUUAAACUAUCAAAUUCAAUUUAAAAUAUAACUUGAAUCAGACUAUCACUUAACCAUUUUUUUGAUCAAUACCCCUUUGACUGAUAGUAGCCAUCUUUGUCAAGUGAGAUGUCAAAUAAAGUAUCGGUUUCUGGUGCCGAUCGACAUUAGUUUCUUCUGCAGUGUUGUGGUCAGGGGGAUUCUAAGAAGAGGUGCGGUUGACUCUGCCGCAGAUGAGGUAGGAAUUUGUCUAGGAAUUGCAGGGUGUUUGGUUUUAUUGGAGCAUUUUGUCGAGCAUCACUUUCGGCUGCGGAGGAUUGUGUUGGACCAAUGUUUUACACCAUAAUCUUUGGUUAUUAAAAUGCGUUGAAUUCAGGAUUAUCAUAUCCAGUUGCUUCAGCUUCAGUUAAAGUACUUCAACGCUUAUGGAGGAACGACUUGGCAGCACUAAAGGUUUGGAAUUCACAAGAGUUGGCCCUUCGAACCACCAGCUGUGAGAUGUCGUCGAUUCAGUCUUUCUUUGAUUCCUCUUUCAUAAUUUAUAUUGGUCAGCUUAUUGAAGGGAGUUUAUUUCGGUUGGGGUUGCAUUUGAGGAAAUAGGAGAGGUAUUCUGUUAUAUUUUCCUGUCAAUUUCAGUUACAAAAGUUAGUCAUGCAAUUAUAGCAUUGUCAUCAUUUCUAUUAGAGCUUCUGUUGCAAAACCAGAAUCAGAUGAACUAACUUCUGUUAAAAGAUAAAUGUAAGCUGAAUCUUUCAAUUCAGAACCUGUGUAUAUAAUUUUGUGAAUUUUGAUAGGGUAUAGUAUAGUAUAUUCAAUUCAAUUCAAUUCAAUUGUAUAUUGUAUAGUAUACUACAGAUUCAUAUACAUUUCGCAGAGUUAGAAAUUAAGCGCGUGAAAGAGAUUGCAGAAUGAAGAAGACAACCAAACGGUCAUUCUAAUUAUGGAAUUGAAAUUUAUCUUGAUUUGUUAUUGUUGUUAUUUUGUUAAGGGUGAUGGAGCAGAGAGAACAGUGAAGAAGGUGAUGGAACUUCCAUUUAAUCAGUACUCAUGGCUUACAACUCAUAACUCUUUUGCUUCGAGGGUAGCGAAUUUGAGUAUAAACUCUCAAAUUUCGUCUGUCACGAAUCAGGAAGACUCCAUUACAGAUCAGCUGCAUAAUGGUGUGAGAGGAUUAAUGUUAGAUAUGCAUGAUUACCAUGGUGACAUUUGGCUGUCUCGCGGGCCGAGCACAAUAUUUACAGCCUUUCAACCUGCUAUUCAUGUUCUGAAAGAGAUCAAUGUAUUCCUGACACAACAUCGAAAUGAGAUCGUCACCGUUUUCAUUAAGGAUCAUGUAACAUCACCAAAUGAUAUUAACAAGUUGUAUAAUUUUGGAAAAGAGAUAUGCACGCCAAGUUGCAGAUAUGGAGCUAGACUCAAAUAAUCUCGGUGGCCGAAUUGCGCAGCGGUUCUUUGAAGUUUCUAAAUACAAGAUACCAUGAUGAUGGGCGCUGACUAUUAUCAAACACGAAAAAAAACUUAGGUGCACAUCAGGGUGAUAGAUGAUGUUGAUCAUGUGUUUGCUGAGGAAGUGGAGAGUCCUAUUCCUAUUUGUGAAAGGGAUGUGGAGACUAUUGGAUUCAACCCGAAUGCUAGAGACAAACCUGUCAGCGAAAAUAGCUUUUAUUUAGGGCUGAACAUGGAACUGUUAUGUUAGUCAAAGAAAUGGUUAGUAUAAAUUGUUAAGACUAGAAUUCUGUCGAGACAUUUAGGUAUUGUAUUAUUGAAUGUAUCUUUUAAACCAUACUACAGUGAGAGUAUUACUAAAGAAUUAUAUACAAAAAAACGUGAUGUCAUGUUUUAAACCAUACUACAGUGAGAGUAUUACUAAAGAAUUAGACGAAAGGUUCAUGUCAAACCAACAAAGCUGCCCUUCUUUGCUCCCCACAAUUAAAUUAUCACCUGCAUGUCAUGUGUGCAGAAAAACAAGAUGAACGAUUUACUGCAUUUAUGACUCCAGGAUGGACUGCAAUAGACGAGGCUUCUUUGAGGCCGGUAUCAAGCUUUUUUAUGAGUUUGGACUUCAAUAAAUCAUACACACGAACACUCUUCUGUGUACAAACAAAGAAGAUGGAACGGGAUCGAUGGAAGGUUGAUCUAACAGCAAUUCCACGUAACUUGAAUGGAAGUUUUUGUGUAGCUUUCUUGGACAACUGGUGUAUGAGAACUGAUCUUGACUCACGUAAAGAAUAUGUUAAGGAAAUAAUGAGUCAAUCUUAAAUAUAAUAAUUUAUACCUCUUAAACUUUUCUUAAGAUAAAAAAUAAAACGGCUAAAGUUGGUAACCGAUCAGUUUAAUACACUAUUUCUACAAGGUCUGUGAAUAAACUAUUCACACACAACACAGGCAUCAACAGAAUGACAUGGAAAUAACACCCCAUGUAUGUUUCUCUUAAUGGUGUUAAAGUUAAUGUGUCAAAAGUCAGUGAUGGUUUCGUGCUGUGUUGAAAGAGAUAACAAUUGUCAGUAAGGUAUGAUACAGUAACAUACAUACAUGUGCAAUGAUAGGUAUGUGAGCCUUGAUGUGUAU